rnacentral:rRNA from 1 species
GGACUACUAGGGUAUCUAAUCCUGUUCGCUCCCCACGCUUUCGCUCCUCAGCGUCAGUACAGGCCCAGAGAACCGCCUUCGCCACCGGUGUUCCUCCCGAUAUCUGCGCAUUUCACCGCUACACCGGGAAUUCCAUUCUCCCCUGCCUGCCUCUAGUCUGCCCGUAUCCACUGCAGGCUCGGGGUUAAGCCCCGAGAUUUCACAGCAGACGCAACAAACCGCCUACGAGCUCUUUACGCCCAAUAAUUCCGGACAACGCUUGCGCCCUACGUGUUACCGCGGCGGCUGGCAC